UGUCCCCGCCAUCAACCACGGUGCAGAGGCUGGGCCAGGCGUCUGAUUCCAGGGUCACAGCCAGGGCAAGAACAGUGGUCAUAGAAUCUUCCCUUCAAGGCUCCCUCUCCUCUAGGGGCCUUCGCCUUCUGAGAAGUUAAACUUGCCCCCCUCAGGUCACAGGCCCCCCAAGGCGUGUGUAUACGAACUAUAAAGUGCCUCCCCUCCCCCGCCGCCUCCUCCUCCUCCUCCCCCUCCCCCUCGGGGGAGGCCUCGGGUUCUGAUGAAACAGGACGUGGCACAGGAUGGACAGCAGACCCCGGUUUGAAUCCCGGCUCUGCCACUGACCAGCGCUGUGACCAUCAGCCAGUUACUUCUCUCCAGCCUCACUGAUGCUAAAUGACAGCAGUAAGACAGCUGCCUCCCCGGAUGCCCUGGGGACAAAACAGCCAGACUUCCUUACCCUGGAUCUCUCUGAACGGCUCAGGGCGGGAGGAACGUUCAGCAUCACUCACUAAGGCUCACAUCUGUCCAGGCGUCACCCAAACCCACCGCCACAGUUACCAAAUUUGCGGAUUCCUGGGCCUCGGUCCAGACCUACAGAAUCAGCAUCUCUGGGGGUGCAGCCCAGGAAUCUGCAUUCUCCAAAGCACCCAGCCUAGUCAGGUCUGGAGAAAGCUGGAGCCCCCAAGCAGCCAGGCAGGAGAGCAGGUGCGAGGAGCAGGCGGGACGGGAGGACACAGACAGGACAACAGAGGAGAAAGGAGACCAGGUGAGGUGGGACGUGGGGCCUGGGGAUGGCUCCCGCCAGGGAUCGGCUCCAGCAGUGUCCCACCCCAACGCGCAGGCAGCGGGGGCUGGGAGUCCUAGCUGCUGGGGGGCCAGGGGCAGGGGACCAGCCAGCCCCGCUCAGAGAAGGGGAACAGUGCCUAGAGGACAAGGACUGUGUCUCAGGCAUCCCCCCAUAUGCCAGGGGCCGGCGAGGGGCUGGUGACACAGGAGGUCCUUGGCAA